AUGACCUGGACAGCACUUUUCCUCAGCCUCCUGGCUCAUUGCACAGGCUCUGUAGCCUCUUAUGUGCUGACUCAGCCAUCCUCAGUAUCGGUGACCCCAGGACAGACGACCAAAAUCACCUGUGGAGGCAACAACAUUGGAAAUAAAUAUGUGCACUGGUACCAGCAGAAGACAGCACAGGCCCCUCUGCUAAUCAUCUACAGAGAUAGCAAUCGGCCCUCAGGGAUCCCUGACCGAUUCUCUGGCUCCAACUCUGGGAACACAGCCACCCUGACCAUCAGUGAGGUCCAGGCUGGAGAUGAGGCUGACUAUUACUGUCAGACAGGGGAUAGCAAUACUGCUCACAGUGACACAGGCAGACAGGGAAGUGAGACAAAACCUGCCACCAGCCUGGCACCCAAGGAUCCUCCUUGUCCUGGUCACCUUGACAGCAGAAAGUGUGCCCCAUAG